GUAUGUGUGUGUGUGUGCCUCCACAUGCCAAGUUGCUAAUGACCCCAUCCAGACCCCAACACUCCCUACCACUCCCAGACAAAAGAAUUUCUCCUGAGAUCAACUUCCAGAGAAAUUUAAAUAUCAGGCACCAGACCCAGCAGAGCGGGUAGGGAAGAGGACCCUGCUGGCCAGCGAGUCCACAUGGGUGUCCUCCCCAAAAUAUGCUCACAUCUGAACAUCAGGAGGCUACGGGCCGAGGCUGAGGACAGUAUUCUAGAAACCUGUAGGUAGGCAUGAGGAUUUAGUAGUGAGAAAGAAGUCUAUGUCAAGAGUCGAGAAAGAAUCAAAGCAGGCAUACCCUCCUCCUCCUCGCAGCUGGGAAAGGGGGUAGAUGCUCUCUUGUAAUGCAUGAUCCCUUGUGUUACUGAGAUUUUCAACUAUAAUGUUCCAUGACAGUCUUCACGUUGUAAAUAUAAAGACAUAUGAAGGAAGGAAGAGAAGAUGGAAGAAGAGAGAGAUGAAGAAAUGUCCACAUGUAAACAUGGCCAGUCAUGGGCAAAUUCCAGGUGACUGCAUUCCUCGCCUGACCUAACCCAAAGGAUAAUGGGCACCACAGAGGGCGGUUCCAGUUCCAGUGCCAAACCCACAAGGCACGGUCAUUAGGAGGGAAGAGGCAGCACUAUCGAAGAGGUCCCUGCCACAGGCGUAGUCUGAUAACCGGUGGGUUCUCGGCUCCCCGGUGAUAUGAGAGCUGCCCAGAGCCCCAGCUGAUAGGGAGACACUGCUCCCUGGAGGAGGCAACGCUUGAUCUGCUGGGCCGGAGACAAUGAAAUAUUUGACACCAUCCUCUGUGCCCUUCCCUGGAGAGAAAUAAGUUCUCCAUCCCUAACAUCCAGCCCUAAAAUGGCGAUAUUAGGUGGGGUCUAGUAGGGAGUCCUUAGCUUACUGGAGGUGGCAUAUCUGGGGCUUUGUGUUCUUCACGCCGUCCCUUCCCUCUGCUUCCUAGCUCUCGAUGCUGCCUGCCCCAUCAAGUACUUCUCACCGUUUCUAUGUCCCCAUCCUCAGCAGGGACGACGGAAAUAGGACUACUCCAUCUUGGACUCAAGCCUUCAGACUGUGAACAAAAUAAACCUCUCUUCACUUCAAGGCAGCCUAUUGGGGGCGUUUUGUAACAGCAGUUCCAUGAUGAGGGCUCUAGCCAGCAAGCUGUGCCAAGGCCCCUGCUGGACCCUGGAGGACAGCGGAAGUGGCUUUCCCACCCUUCUGCCCACACACUUCAGGCUGGAAUAGAGUGUGAGACUACACAGAUGGAUAACCCACACACACUCAGUUCUAGGCCCUGUCUUCUCGGGGAGGAGGAAUUAGCAAGACCAGAUUAAGAUCAGAAAUCUUAGUGCUUGCCUUCGCCUCCCGGCUGUCAACUUGUGGUCAAAAGGCCUGAUUCUGAAUGAACACUCUUAGACAUGGGCCUCUUUAAAUAAGCACAAAAAUCAGAAAUUAAUGAGGGUCGUGUAAAGCUCUUACAAGAUGGCGCUGAGAUGUCUUAAAAAGCGUGUCUAGGUGUUUGUUCUUUGCUUGUGUAACGUCUGUGUGUGCCAUCCCUGUUCUGUUUGUCUCCGAACAUUCUGUGAGUGGAAACUGUAGAACCAUGAAGAGGAGAGGGCGUUCUUCAAGAAGAGAGUGUGCCAGGAGGUGACAAUGGAGAGCAAACCCCAGACCCUGCCACGGAGCCCACAUGGCAAUCCACCCAACAGAGAGCAGACUCUUCCACGGGCUCAUCAGAAAGACUCAGAUCCAGCAUAGUGUUGGCCCCAGGACACCAGAAAGCCCUUCUUCACCCACAGCCACAACUCCAGGGCAGACCUCUCCCCGACUCCCGGGCAGAGCCUCGGACGCAUGCGCACCUAUGAGUCGAGUCCAGUAAGCAGCAGCAGUGUUACUACGGAUUAAGUCCCUGAUUUCCUGCACUAAUCAAGUAGACUGCCACUGCCUGGUACCAAGAACUCUAAUCAAAUCCUACGAGGUGGUUUCAGCUAACACCUAGAAAUGGGUGACAAAACAUUGAGGAAACAAGACACAAAAAAAAGCUUGGGUGCUCCUGAGACCCGAUUGUGUCCCCUACAGCAAGUUCAUGAUGAGUCACUGGGGAAAGAAUAUAAUUGCUAAAGGUUGGGUCGUGGGGCUUGAAGGCAUGCCACAUGUGGGAGAAACUCAUGAUGACACAGAAACCCUGAUGCCCAGGCUACGGAGCUCCUAGCUUGGCUAAAGCUUACUUCCUACUAAAGCAAAGAACCUUCAAACUUUCAGAAAGGACCCAACCUAGAAAAUACAAUCUUCAAAACUGUUUCUAUCUUUAAAACAGUAUUGUGGUUGUGUUGUUGUUGUUGUGUUUGUUUCGUUAUCUCAGGGCUAUUUUGCUUGUGUUUGUUUGUUUUGUUUCAUUUUGUUUUUUG